rnacentral:rRNA from 1 species
AGACCCGAAACCCGGUGAUCUAGCCAUGGGCAGGUUGAAGGUUGGGUAACACUAACUGGAGGACCGAACCGACUAAUGUUGAAAAAUUAGCGGAUGACCUGUGGCUGGGGGUGAAAGGCCAAUCAAACCGGGAGAUAGCUGGUUCUCCCCGAAAGCUAUUUAGGUAGCGCCUCGUGAAUUCAUCUCCGGGGGUAGAGCACUGUUUCGGCUAGGGGGCCAUCCCGGCUUACCAACCCGAUGCAAACUGCGAAUACCGGAGAAUGUUAUCACGGGAGACACACGGCGGGUGCUAACGUCCGUCGUGAAGAGGGAAACAACCCAGACCGCCAGCUAAGGUCCCAAAGUCAUGGUUAAGUGGGAAACGAUGUGGGAAGGCCCAGACAGCCAGGAUGUUGGCUUAGAAGCAGCCAUCAUUUAAAGAAAGCGUAAUAGCUCACUGGUCGAGUCGGCCUGCGCGGAAGAUGUAACGGGGCUAAACCAUGCACCGAAGCUGCGGCAGCGAACGUAUCACUUAAAGCGAUUCAGCGGGUUACGAUUGACGGAGCGAAGCGACGUCAAAGCGUAUACAAAGUCGAGUCGGUUUAAGGAUACGUUCGUUGGGUAGGGGAGCGUUCUGUAAGCCUGUGAAGGUGUGUCGUGAGGCAUGCUGGAGGUAUCAGAAGUGCGAAUGCUGACAUAAGUAACGAUAAAGCGGGUGAAAAG